AAAACUCAAAGGAAUAGACGGGGACCCGCACAAGCGGUGGAGCAUGUGGUUUAAUUCGAAGAUACGCGAAGAACCUUACCUGGACUUGACAUCCUAUUAAUAGGUUAGAGAUAAUUUAGUGCUAGUUUACUAGAAAAUAGUGACAGGUGCUGCACGGCUGUCGUCAGCUCGUGUCGUGAGAUGUUGGGUUAAGUCCCGCAACGAGCGCAACCCUCGUCGUUAGUUGCUAACAGUUCGGCUGAGCACUCUAACGAGACUGCCUGGGUAACCAGGAGGAAGGUGAGGACGACGUCAAGUCAUCAUGGCCCUUAUGUCCAGGGCUACACACGUGCUACAAUGGUUGGGACAAUGAGACGCAAUACCGCGAGGUGGAGCAAAUCUAUAAACCCAAUCUCAGUUCGGAUAGCACUCUGCAACUCGAGUGCUUGAAGCUGGAAUCGCUAGUAAUCGUAGAUCAGCAAUGCUACGGUGAAUACGUUCCCGGGUCUUGUACUCACCGCCCGUCACACCAUGGGAGUUGGUUUCACCCGAAGCCGGAAUGCCAAAUUGGCUACCGUCCACGGUGGGCCCAGCGACUGGGGUGAAGUCGUAACAAGGUAAC
rnacentral:rRNA from 1 species